AAGACAUCGGGCCUAACUCAACUCAAAAGACUAGCAUGAUGAGUGAGGACUCCCCCACCUUAUAUGUUGUGCUCCCCAUAAUCUAUAACCCAUGUGAUCUCCCGGAAGACGUUAUACUAGGCCCCAAGUCCAACUCUCCAGUCACACACAACCCUGUGCAACCUUACUCCCCGUCACCAUGUGACUCCGGAGAUAUUCCGAAUUUUUCAACCUUCGGCUCUGAUACCACUUGUUAGAGUGCGUAGCAGAAAUCGGCCCGGCCCGGCCCGGCCCGCUAUACCCACGAGUCGGCACCCUACUAGGCCUAGGUCCACCGGAGCCCAACCAACUAAGGCCUCGGGCCUAACAACUCAAAAGACUAGCCUGAUGAGUGAGGACUGCCCCACCUUAUAUGUUGUGCUCUCCCACCAUCAAUUUUCGAUGUGAGACUAAAUCUAACACAAGGCACUAAGAACCUCACAUUGUUUUGACAAUCUGAUAGGGAACCAACUUAUGAGUGCAUAAAACAACCUGUUCUUCAAGAAGCAGAGGACAGCAAGAGCUGCGGACUCCUGAUCUGUGUCUUAAAUAUUUUAUCUGAGGACCAUCAGCACUAAAGGAUAAUAGCAUUGCUGCCAUUUAGGAUAGCAUUCCUGCUUGAACGCUGUCUGGUCAAGUUAUGCCUACUCCUUGGAAGAUUCCAUAGAAACUAACGAAGCAAGGAAUCCUUUAUUUGAACGUUUUAGGAUAACUUCCUUUGAUAGAUAGGAUGAUCUUGCAGUACCAACCAUAUCUAGAAGUGAAUUGCGAGCUUGAAAUGUAACCAAUAUUGCUUUUGGUGUGCCGUGGUCAUACUGAAUAUAGCCAGCUAGCAUAACUUAAGCGUAUUCAUGCCUCUAGUUUCUCGGAACUCCUAUUCGUACCAUUAUUCCAUAUUGUACCUGCUGUUAUUGUUACCUGUGGGAUUCAUAUCGUUGCCAGCUAAUGAGCUGAUGAACCUUUCGUCGGUUGUCCUAAAUCUUUAAACCUC